GUUGUUUUGAUAGUUUUUCAACAAACUUUCGGCCUCUCGUUCUCUCUCAUUUCUCCACCAAAUUUGACGAGUAAGGUAUGGUUUUCUACCUAUUUUCCAUGCUCUAGCUGAUGGUUGGGUAGGAUUUCGUUAAUUUUGAGCUUAGGUCAGUUGAAUUUCAACUUAGGGUUCGGCCGGUUUUGGAUUUCCGAUUCCGGCCACUUCCGGUCACUUUUUGGGGUAGGGCCAAGAACAAAAGUGACUCCAAAUAGGGUGUUGUACCUAGGGUAGGAGUCUUGAGCUGAGGUGUUGAGUUUUUCCGACAAAGGGUUAUCGCUUUGGACACCCACACGCUGCCAGCGCGUGUGGCGGCGCGUGGGCACUGUAGCAAACUUGCAUUUUUGUCCCAAUGCGAUCCCCUGGUUGUCACGAGUGCGUAGAAUUUUGCGGAUCUCAAUUCGGACAUCGUUUGACUAUCGAACGAAUUUUCACAUAUUAGGAGUUAUCCGGGUUCGCCAUGUUCGGACCGUUGGAUCGACUUCAUUCCAAUAUAUGUUACUCUAGACUUUCCUAGGAACGUGUAGGAAUUCGCGGAUCAUGAAUCGGAGCCCCGGAUGUUCUGAUUCAAUAAUUUAAAGUUUGAAGAUUUUUUCGAUAACCGUCCGAUCGUGAGAGAUAUGCGAUCUAACCGUCCUUUCCUGACCAAACUUACUGGACAUGUGUCUUAAACCUUGUGGAACUCUUAGGAACUUCCAGUUUGUUCCGUUCCUCGUACACUAGCUAGAAACCUGGGAAAUUAGGAUUUUAAUUCAAGUUCUCGUUCGAAACAUUUUGUAUUAAUCUCGUAUUCGUAUUCUGAAAUAGGUACUCCGACCACGCAUACGCAGCAGGCGGGACCCUCUCAGGGUCAAGCAGUGUGGGACUACUUGUGAGUGGACUUUGUUUUCAACUUAUAAGCAUGGUUUUAUAAUGAGAAUUUUAUGCAUAUGAAUUAAAUAGUUAUUGAAAUGCAUGUUAUAUUUAAUAGUUGAAUUCUUUAUUUUCAUAAAGUAUUGGUAAUAUAAUUUGGGUUUUGACAUAUUUGAGUAUCUUGAGUAUGUAUAUAUGGAUUUUGAGAAUUUCUAUACAUGUUUGGCUAUGUGUGGGGUACUUGGGUUGUUGAGAUGGAAUUUUGGAAAGUGGUGAGUAUAGAAUGUCAGUUUGGAGUGCUAUAAGCACUACCCUAUGUACCUCCCCAGAUUUGAAACUUGAGAUACUUGGAAAUUUCGGAACCCGAGCAUCCUUGACGGGAUGUUGCUGUAGACCCUUGAUUGGGUAGUCCGCGCGCGUAGGACUGGUCACAGACGUACGAGUUUUGAGGGUAUCGGCUGUACGUGCUGGCUGAGAGUUAGUCCCCCAGUUGGACGGCUCGUUCCCUAGUUACAUGGUGAAUUGAGGACUCUCCAUAAGGACUCUGCCAUGGGAACUUGUCAAACAAUCCCCCGGUUGGAUUGUUUCCCCGGUACAACUAGGUAUUGGUCAUAUUUAUAUUAUAUAUAUAUCUCUUAUAUUAUUUAUAUAUUUACGUAUGUAUUUAACUAUUCUUUCAUUCUUGUUUUUCGGUGAGGAUACUUACUUGCCGGUCAUGCCAAUGGGUACGCUUUCGAGAGUUUGGGUUGGGACUUAUAAUAUUUAAUUGGUGGGUUUGUUUAGUGUGCUGUUUGGAUUUCGGACUUGGCAUCCGGCAUUGGUUUGGUUUUGACUUAUAUAAAUAUUUAUUUGAUUAUGAUGGUUUGGGAUGCAUUUGGAUUUCUUGCAUGGUUUAUUAAACAGUGGGGUUAUAUUAUGUUGGUUUACACUGAACUGAACUUUAUUUUCGUCCACUCACAUUUUUCUAUUUUGGACCCCCAGCCAGUAGUCGACUGAGCUCCGCAGCUGAGCCGGAUUGUGUGCUUACGAGCCUUGAGCCUUCGU
rnacentral:lncRNA from 1 species